rnacentral:rRNA from 1 species
GACGAACGCUGGCGGCGUGCUUAACACAUGCAAGUCGAACGGAAAGGCCCUUCGGGGUACUCGAGUGGCGAACGGGUGAGUAACACGUGGGUGAUCUGCCCUGCACUCUGGGAUAAGCCUGGGAAACUGGGUCUAAUACCGGAUAGGACCACACACUUCAUGGUGAGUGGUGCAAAGCUUUUGCGGUGUGGGAUGAGCCCGCGGCCUAUCAGCUUGUUGGUGGGGUAAUGGCCCACCAAGGCGACGACGGGUAGCCGGCCUGAGAGGGUGACCGGCCACACUGGGACUGAGAUACGGCCCAGACUCCUACGGGAGGCAGCAGUGGGGAAUAUUGCACAAUGGGCGCAAGCCUGAUGCAGCGACGCCGCGUGAGGGAUGACGGCCUUCGGGUUGUAAGCCUCUUUCAGUAGGGACGAAGCGAAAGUGACGGUACCUACAGAAGAAGGACCGGCCAACUACGUGCCAGCAGCCGCGGUAAUACGUAGGGUCCGAGCGUUGUCCGGAAUUACUGGGCGUAAAGAGCUCGUAGGUGGUUUGUCGCGUUGUUCGUGAAAACUCACAGCUUAACUGUGGGCGUGCGGGCGAUACGGGCAGACUAGAGUACUGCAGGGGAGACUGGAAUUCCUGGUGUAGCGGUGGAAUGCGCAGAUAUCAGGAGGAACACCGGUGGCGAAGGCGGGUCUCUGGGCAGUAACUGACGCUGAGGAGCGAAAGCGUGGGUAGCGAACAGGAUUAGAUACCCUGGUAGUCCACGCCGUAAACGGUGGGUACUAGGUGUGGGUUUCCUUCCUUGGGAUCCGUGCCGUAGCUAACGCAUUAAGUACCCCGCCUGGGGAGUACGGUCGCAAGACUAAAACUCAAAGGAAUUGACGGGGGCCCGCACAAGCGGCGGAGCAUGUGGAUUAAUUCGAUGCAACGCGAAGAACCUUACCUGGGUUUGACAUGCACAGGACGUACCUAGAGAUAGGUAUUCCCUUGUGGCCUGUGUGCAGGUGGUGCAUGGCUGUCGUCAGCUCGUGUCGUGAGAUGUUGGGUUAAGUCCCGCAACGAGCGCAACCCUUGUCCUAUGUUGCCAGCGGGUAAUGCCGGGGACUCGUAGGAGACUGCUGGGGUCAACUCGGAGGAAGGUGGGGAUGACGUCAAGUCAUCAUGCCCCUUAUGUCCAGGGCUUCACACAUGCUACAAUGGCCAGUACAGAGGGCUGCGAAGCCGCAAGGUGGAGCGAAUCCCUUAAAGCUGGUCUCAGUUCGGAUUGGGGUCUGCAACUCGACCCCAUGAAGUCGGAGUCGCUAGUAAUCGCAGAUCAGCAACGCUGCGGUGAAUACGUUCCCGGGCCU